CAGGUGCAUUCAAUGGAGUGAGGAGCCAUCCCUUCCCAGACCUCAUUUAAGGGUUAGUAGUGGAAGCAAGAGUAUCUUGCUGAAGAUUCCUGAGGAUGUGGGGCCUUCUGAAGGCUCAAGAAACCAGUUGCAUGGGCAGCCCUCCUUUGGGCUCUCUUCUGUUCACCCCUACCUUUUGUUAUGCUGGGGCCAAUACAGAACUAUGCCAGGAAGAGCCACAUCACAAGGAAUGGCUGAUGCCUUCAGUACGUCCUUCUGGGAUCUACCUCACAGGAACAACACAGAGCAUUAAACAGGAGAAAGCAUUGCUUCCUGAGCAGCACC